rnacentral:lncRNA from 1 species
CAUGUUGCGCUGGUGUUUGCGCAGGUCCGAAGAGCGCACGAAGGCCUUCCCGCAGUCUGGACACGGGAAAUCAUUUUUCAGAUGCUACCUGGGGACUCCUGCAGCUGCUGUGCAUUUUCUUGGAAUCUCUCAUGGAACCAUGCAUGAUGACUGUUUCUACAUCUCUGCAUGGGAAGGAACUCAGGGAUAGAGGGCACCCCGUUCCAUCCCCAUCCCAGCCCCUAGUGCAGGGGAAGAGAGCCGUGGAUGUUAACUAUUUGCCUGGAAUGUGUGAGACGGAUCCUGCCCUUUCCUUCACCAAGCCACCUAGCAGAACCCAUGCCAUCCAGGGCAUCUGCGAGAGAAACACCUCUCCCAGCCUCCCCUGAGCAGCCCACUAGCGCUGUGGAUUCCAGAUCCUGAAACUGCAUCUUGCACUCGGUGUCCUGAGCCCAGCUGAAGUGGCAGGAGCACCACUGACUCCAGAACAGACUUGUAAAGAAAGAAGGUAUCUCCCAAGUCAGCCACAGAGGCUCAUGGUUUCCUGCUCCAUCUAGUCCUGGGUGUUUGCUUAAAUGGGCACUGGCUGACAUGACUGAAACCUCAUGCAUCCAUCACACAUUCACCCUCAACAAAGACACAGCCCCUCCUUUAAGGCCUGUGCUCCCUGUACAUACACAGUGCCCUGCAGCACAGAGAAACCACAUGAAUGGCCUUCUUGGCUCAAGGAGUCAGGGAGUAGGGGCCUGCUGAGCAUGACCAUGUCCAGAGAGUGGGGACCCCAAGAACUGUAACAGCCCAUUGGACAGAUGUGGGCAGGAAUGGGGACAAAAUCACCCACAGUCUCAGACCCCAAAUGAGGUGUGAAUAUGAAAUCCAUGAAAACCUCAUGUGGAGGCCAAAAGACUAACUAGAUUCCCAUCUCAUCUCUCCAGGCCAGAAGCCUAUUAUCCAAUCCUUCCUCUCAUUGCAAGCCCCAGAAGUAACAGCAAUUACAAAAUAAAGAAAAAUAAGAACUUGUCAGCUCCAAUUUUGGGGUUUGAAUGUGGUCUCUGGGGAAUGAUCAGACGGUGGAAGCAGCUGUGGGCAGGGACUCCUCAUGCAGCGAUGACUACUCACUAACCCAGGGCAUGCAUUCGAGGUAAACCCUGUGGGAUUCAGGGCUUGUCCUGCAUCUCACAGUUGAGCGGGCAAGAGCCACCUCUGCCCAAGUGAGGCUUUGUCCCGCACGUCAUCUGUAUGACCUUGCUCUAGGCUGCUCAGGGACGGUUUAUGCAGAUUUUGGUGGAUGCUAGACACACUAAAGAAACACCAUCUCAGGGGUCACUUGGAUUGGAAUGAAGCCAAGGCCAUGGGACCAACUGACUUCCAAGGAUAUUUGGGCCAGGGUGGCAGAUACGUAGGAGAAAAUGUCCUUUGGUGUGAGGAGAGGUCCUUCCCAACCCCAGGGUGUGCACUCCUCUGGCCCUUUGGAGCUGUUAAAUACUGGCCAGAGCAGAUGACAUGAGAUGCCUACUUUUGGAUGGAAACACCUUGCAUGAUCUCUGCUUCUUCAUUCCUGUAAUUGUUUUAAACAGUACUCAUGGAAGAAAACUCAGGACCAUUUUUGUUAGUGGCUAACAAAUUGUUACAGCCUUUAUCAUAGUGUAAGCAUUCUGCAAACUCAGAGACUUUGCAUCUGGAGAUCUGCUACUACGAUGCAACAUUCAGUGUCUUUCAAAAUGGAACCUGGCAUAUCACCUUUUUGUUUGAUAUUUUCCCCACUCUUCAUCUCACUUAUCCUCCUUUUCUUUCAUUCCCGUCUACAUACAAACUUCAUGAGAGAACAGUUUUCUCUUUGGAAGAAUCUAACUUAGAUAUUUUGUGCUAUCAUAUGGACAGAAGGGCUAAAACUCUUCUUUAGUGGCUAGUCAAUAAUCGCAAAGCCAGGAUCACAAUUUCCUCCCAGUUUUCCACUCAGUCCUGACUUUGCUCAGCUGGAGUAUUUGCUAAUGAAUAGACUCUGCUUUCCUCAUUCAGAAAGUACACGGCUUUUGUCAUUGGCAGAGCCCAUUCACUGUCUAUGUCAUAUAUAAUGUCAAGUUUUGUAAGCAUAAUAUACCAGAUAGGUCUCUGUUCAGGAACAGUCCACCAUGUAAUCCAGUUCUUCACCACAAGGACCUGUAGUAUCAUGGUAGGAGAUGUUGAGAGUGAGACAUAGCCAGCUGUGGAUUUCCAGCUGAAGAAGCAUUGAGAAGGUAUUUUAAGUAUUCAAUACUUUGGGGCAGGAUGACACACAAACCAUUACAGAUAGAGGAGCAUCAGGUACAUGUUAAAGGCCCUCAGAAAUAAAGAGUCCAUAAUCAAUGCCAAAUACCAUCUUGUAACAGAAUUUCUUCUUACUUAAGGGGAGUUGGUAUUAUUGAGAACUUAUUAACAGUCAGGAAUAUUUUACAUUCAUUGUCUUAACUAAUGCUCACAAAAGCCCUCUGAUUUAGGAACUCAGACAACCCCAUUUUACAGAUGAGAAAACUGAAGUUUAUAGAAGUUAAGUUACUUUUCCAAGUAAGUGGCAGAAUCUAGAUUCAACCCUAGUAUAUUUUUCUCUAAAGGCCAAGAGAUUAGCUACCAUGCCUUAUGCUACAUUGCCUCACCUGAACACUCAUGCUAUAAUUUACACUCACUGCUUGUAUUUGUUUCUGGCACAGUCUCUCCCAGAACCCCAGAAUACCAGACCAGCACCAUCUAAUGGAAAUAUAAUGUGAGCCAUGAAUAUAGGCCACAUUUGUAAUUUUAAAUUUUCUAGUAGCCACAUUUUUAAAUAUUAAAAAAAUGAGUGAAAUUAAUUUAAAUAUUGUAUUUAACCCAGUAUAUCUAAAGCAUUAUCAUUUCAACAUGAAAUCAACAUAAAAAUUAUCCAUGAAAUAACUUAACACUUUCUUUUGGACUAAGCCUUUGCAAACUGAUGGGUGUUGUAUGCUUACAGCCUGACUUAGUUCCAACUGUCCACAUUUCAAUUGCUUAAUAGCCAUGUGGCCAGUAGCUACCAAACCAAACACCAUGAGUCUAAAUUCAUAAUCCCAACACUCUUCAUAAUCUUUGGAGCUCUUCUUGAAAGUCUUUCAGAAGAUAGGAACAGAACUGACAAGAUAAAGAGCCUAUUUUUAGUUAUUUGCUUUAGUCCAAGAAAAGAAAAGAAAUAAACAAUAGAUUUCACAACUUCCAUCUACAACCAGUAGUCAGCUUAGUUGCUGAAGGUCAGAUGAGAAGCAGAGUGAUGGAAUCCACAUCAUUACAUAACAUGUGUCAGGUGUUCACAUGCUUUCAGAGGGAAGCUGAACACAAUGUGAAGAUCAGAAAGCUGUAGAUCCCUGACCAGAGGGUUGCUCAUGAAUCCAGCUCACAAGGAACACCAGCAGAGCUACCAUUAACUCCCUCCCAGUCCUUCCUCUCCUUACUGUCACUCUCACCCCUGCCCCAGUUUGAAAGGCAAGGUGCAUGAGCCAGGCCUAACCAGUGUAGGACAGACCCCAUCCUCCUCACAUCCAGAGGGCAGAAAGAAACCUCAAGACCUCCUUUCACCCCCAGCCCCUUGGAGAAUCCUCUAACACCAGGAGUUCUCAAACUUUUAUGCACAACAGAAUCACCUGGAGGACAUGUUAAAAUUCUGAUUCUGUGCCUUAUCCCCAAGAGGUCUGAGAUGGGGCUGGGGAAUGUGCAUUUCUAGCAGGUUCCAAGGCUGUUCAUGCUGUAGGUCAGAAGAUGAUCACACAUUGAGAACCCAAAGCUCAUCCCUAAGUUAUCAAUAUAUCACUCAACAGCAAGAACAGAUCUAAGAAAAG